rnacentral:rRNA from 1 species
GAUGAACGCUAGCUACAGGCUUAACACAUGCAAGUCGAGGGGCAGCAUGAAGUUUGCUUGCAAACUUUGAUGGCGACCGGCGCACGGGUGAGUAACGCGUAUCCAACCUUCCCUAUAGUAGAGGAUAGCCCGGCGAAAGUCGGAUUAAUACUCUAUGUUUUCCAAUGCAGACAUCUAAAAUGGAACAAAGGCUUGCCGCUAUAGGAUGGGGAUGCGUCUGAUUAGGUAGUCGGCGGGGUAACGGCCCACCGAGCCAUCGAUGUCUAGGGGAGCUGAGAGGCUUAUCCCCCACACUGGUACUGAGACACGGACCAGACUCC